CUUUGUUUCUUGCUUUAGCAAAAGCAAGUGGUGCGGAUGGGGAUUUUCUUCCCGCUCAGGACUUAGUUAUUACCUGGCUAAACAAAAUAACUUGGCGUGCAUGUGU
rfam:Cyanophage S-RIM50 isolate RW_29_0704, complete genome.